CCUACGGGUGGCAGCAGUGAGGAAUAUUGGUCAAUGGACGAGAGUCUGAACCAGCCAAGUAGCGUGAAGGAUGACUGCCCUAUGGGUUGUAAACUUCUUUUAUAUGGGAAUAAAAUGUUCCACGUGUGGGAUUUUGUAUGUACCAUAUGAAUAAGGAUCGGCUAAAUCCGUGCCAGCAGCCGCGGUAAUACGGAGGAUCCGAGCGUUAUCCGGAUUUAUUGGGUUUAAAGGGAGCGUAGGUGGAUUGUUAACUCAGUUGUGAAAGUUUGCGGCGCAACCGUAAAAUUGCAGUUGAAACUGGCAGUCUUGAGUACAGUAGAGGUGGGCGGAAUUCGUGGUGUAGCGGUGAAAUGCUUAGAUAUCACGAAGAAAUCCGAUUGCGAAGGCAGUUCACUGGACUGCAACUGACACUGAGGCUCGAAAGUGUGGGUAUCAAACAGGAUUAGAUACCCCUGUAGUC
rnacentral:rRNA from 1 species